rnacentral:rRNA from 1 species
AUUGAACGCUGGCGGCAGGCCUAACACAUGCAAGUCGAGCGGAUGAAGGGAGCUUGUUCCUGGAUUCAGCGGCGGACGGGUGAGUAAUGCCUAGGAAUCUGCCUGGUAGUGGGGGAUAACGUCCGGAAACGGGCGCUAAUACCGCAUACGUCCUGGGGAGAAAGUGGGGGAUCUUCGGACCUCACGCUAUCAGAUGAGCCUAGGUCGGAUUAGCUAGUUGGUGGGGUAAAGGCCUACCAAGGCGACGAUCCGUAACUGGUCUGAGAGGAUGAUCAGUCGCACUGGAACUGAGACACGGUCCAGACUCCUACGGGAGGCAGCAGUGGGGAAUAUUGGACAAUGGGCGAAAGCCUGAUCCAGCCAUGCCGCGUGUGUGAAGAAGGUCUUCGGAUUGUAAAGCACUUUAAGUUGGGAGGAAGGGCAGUAAGUUAAUACCUUGCUGUUUUGACGUUACCAACAGAAUAAGCACCGGCUAACUUCGUG